GAUGUUCAGAACUGCAGAUCAUUGUCAUCGAAAAUACAAAGGCCUCUGUUGAAGAUUUUAUACUAUUGUACCGGAUGGAAUGAAACCAAAUUGACUCUACGACGAGCCUCCAGUAUGAGCUCUAUCCAAGUCUUGCUCUUCAUCUUCAUCACCACCAGCAUCUAGACUGCAGGGGUUCUGUCCUAAAUCUGAUGACCGCUGGGAUUCUGUGCUGCCAUGAUGGUUUAUUGGAGUCUAAAAUCCAAGUAUAUCAUUAUUUUUUUCAAAAUUUCUGUCUCAAUAGAUCACAUUCACUUCUUCCAAAUGAUCUCUCAUUAACGAGAGAUCAUUAAUGCACAAAUACCUGAUAAAUAAGUGAUGCGUUAAGGUUUAGAGAUGGGAAUUAGGCUUUAAAGAUCUAAAUCAUUUUUUUGUCCCAAAUUUUUUUUGUCCUGCUUGCAUUUUAACCCUUUCAUGCAUGAAUUAUGACAACCUCAAUCAGGAUUUUUUUCUUAAGUAUUUUUAUUCAUCUUCAGGCAUGAAAAAAGAUUUUUGAACUUCAUUUUUUUUAAACCAGUACUUUUCAAAGUUGUCCACUUAGAUGGACUACUGCUGUGUAUGGAGUGACACAUCAGUGUCCAAUGUAGUGGUUUAUGUGCAAGUGCAAGUAUACCAUCAACACUGACACAAAUACAAGAAAACAGCCUUUAAAUAGCUGUCCACUGCAGUGACCACUAUGCGUGAAAGGGUUAAAAUAGGAGUUUAUGGAGAUUGGCUCAUGUUUUGAGUCGGCCUCAAGUGGCCAUUUAAGGAACUUCAGUUUGGCCCUUCUUUGCUGGCUUAAUUUCUUUCAGCCCUGGAAGUUUCCACUUGGUUUAAUUGCACAGUUUGGAUGAAGAAAUCCAGACAGAGAAACUGAAAGUGGCUUUAAUGAUAACAAAUGAAGCUGAAGUGCAUAGUCGGUACUGAAGAUGAACCAGUACACAAGGGAGAUAAUUGGGGAAAUGAGAGGCAGGUGUGCAGGCAGCUGAUGAUGAGGUGACUGGGGAAAACCUAGGCUGGCUGGCCGGGCGGGGCGGAUUGUUGGAUAAUAGAUGUUACAGCAGCUGAUAUUACAUGCGGCAGAAAAAGUUGGAGAAUAACUGGGAAAAAAAAAAUCCAGUUGCAUUUCAUGGAAGCAGUGUAGAAACAUGAAUCAUGCACAAUAAGUGCGCGUACACACUGUAGCUUAUAUGUGCAGCGCAGGGUUGUUCUUCAAUACUGCAGCAUAUCAUCUUUUCUAAUCUGGGAUUGACUAAUCCUCCUUUGUUCCUGAUCCAGGCAAGGGGAGAGACAAACACCUGGUAACUGGGAAAAGAUUUCCUCAGCUGUGCUUAAGGUUUACAGAAUGGGUGGAAUAUGUUGAUCCUGCUUUCUCUGUGAAUGCAAGGUGGUGGUGGUGGACUCUUGGGACCAUGUGCACCACCAUCAUGUUUCUCUCUACUCUGGCUUUUGUACUGCGCCAGCAUUUCUUCAGCCGAAGUAAGACCUUUCCAAAAGGCUCACGGGAGAAGGAGUCACCAUCGGUGGAGAGCAAAGACACUGACAAGUGACAUUCACUUAAUGGACAUCCAGCUCAGCUUCCAGCAUGAAUGGUUUGAAUGUUCAGACUCAAUAGGAGCGUGCUGGAAAGGUGACACCUGCAUUAUUCUGCAAAACCCUCAUACCGCACCCUAGCCUCCUCUAAUGUUCACAGCCCAAAGCCAGCUGAAGCAUCUUCCAUUAUUUAGAAACGCUGCACUGAAAGGCAAUCUAGCAUUAAAAAAUGUGCAUUCUCUCAGCUUUUGUUGGACUGAUAAUGGGACCGUAACAAGGCAGCACUGUCUAUACUGCUACCUUAUAUCAUCCUAAAACAAUGACUACCACCCACAGUUUGGCUCUGUGCUAACAGAGAUCAGUUUCCAGACUCCAGUUACACUUUGAAAACUGUGUUGGCCCUUUGAGGAACUGGUUGUGGUCAGUGCUGUGACCCAGCACACUACGUGGAGGCGACAUCAUGGCUAAGAGAGGAGACAGCAGGGCAGCCGAUGCAUUGUUGCCAGGGCACUGGAGGGAUCUGAGAGAGUGGAGCAUAGAGAAGAGACAAAGCCACAGAAGCUGGGUUUUAGAUGUGGAAGCCGUGCUCAAGUCCAUGGAAAGACAGCUGAAUUCUGUUCUGGAGAAAUGUCCUCAGUCGAAAUGUGGAAACAGCCCAGUGGGUCCUCCAUCUCCUUUAAGCCACAGCAGGUCUCGCUCCAGUCAACAAGCUGAUCCGUAAAGUCAACUUUAGACGCUUUUCAACUUUCUGACAGCAAAACGAAUCCCAUAUUUUUGCCCCAAACAGUCACUUGGAGUAGACAGACUUUGAGCACCGCUUGUUGACGGUUUUCCUUUAUUCCAGCGACAUAGAGCCCACAGAAGUGUACGCUCUGUGCCACGAGCACCAAACCUGAUAUGAUUGGCAGCGUUGUUUGAGGUUUUUUUUGGCUUGCUAAAAUCCCUUGUGCAAUAAUCUCUCCUCUUAAGUAGUUGUUUGACAUUGCAGGGAGGAAAGCAAUUUCACACCCGGUUGUAUCAUUACUCAACUGUUCCAUAAGCGAUGAAAACCUGACGGUCUCUGGAAUGACUGAAAAACUUUGUGUCAUUACCGAGCUGCCAGACCAGAAAUAAACAAGUGUUUUCUGUGAUGUACAUGCACGGCCUGCUGCAUCUUUAUUUGAAGGGAAAUCCACACCCACACUCCAAGCAGCACAAAAAAAAUUAAAGCUCCCUGGCUUAUUCGUUUCUAUGAUUGAGCCUUUUGCUCUGCACGUGGAUUCCCAAGCAUGUCGAAUUACGACUAAAUCAUAUAGCGUGACAAUGGGGCCCCUAUGCACAGGAUCUUAGCAAUUAAUACUGUUUUUUCAUCUUUUUAUGGGCUGCAUCAUUUCCCUUGCCGACAAAUGAGAUCUUAUUUCCUGCCUGAUUACAUAAGUGAUUGGAUCCUUAUUGAUAUUAAGGUUGUGCGCUGCCCCAGAGAUACCAGUGUGCGUUUAAUGAUACGUUCCAGUGGGAGCGACAGACCACUAAGUUAUUUUCGAAAAGGGACUAAAACUGCCUCUGUUGCGGGAAUAUGGCCGACUGUUAUGCAUCUACUCUAUUAAGAACUCUAUUAUUGCGAAUAUCCCUGUUUGUCACUCUGACAACUAUGUACAACAAAUCCCUCCAGCUGAAGUAUUCCACUGGCAGAAGCCCGGGGAACUAAUGAGCCUAAUAUGUCCCCAGGAACGUCGCCUCUGCCAAGUGUGCACUCUAAAUCCUCCUGUGUAAUCAAGGCGGUGCAGGACAUAGAUAUCUGCAGAUAGUGGCAGUAGUACUUCCAUAUCUCACUGCUGCCUCCUGCCCUGAUGAGUCUGUCUGACUCAAAUUACUAGGUGAAAGCGGGGCUUUUGUGCACCCGGUAACGUGGAGUAGCUUGGGUAAUGACUAUGGUCUUCCUGAACACUCUGGUAGACCAUGGGAGUUAAUCUAAUGAAGGGGAGAGAGCCAUGGUUCAUAAUUGCCUGAGAGAGAUGCUGGAAGAAAGGUACACAUGGAAACUCAAACCUGUUUUUCCUGCGCGCUCCAAACUCAGACGCUGCUGCAAAAGCAGGAGAGGAAUCAAAGAAAAGAGAUGCUGAUGAUAGUCGUGCAUGUUAAGGACACAGAACAUUUAAACAUCAGAAAUGUUUAAUGCAUGUAGCUAUGCCAUGAUUUGAUGUAUUAUUUCAGCGUUGUUCAUCGGUGAGCUUUUACAUUUUACAAACACAGACACAAUCUGAUAGUGUUCUUUUAUUCUUCCUGAAAGAAAUUCUUGUACUUAAAAACAGCAGAGAAAUAAAAAAUGGUGUCCAACAGAUCAAUCAUUAGAUGGACAUUUAACUUCAGUGAGGUAAUAAAAACCAAAGAAAAGUUUUUCAGAGUCGUUCUGCACUCAUACUGUUUUAGCUGAUUUUGAAACCGGAUGUUACAGCCUGCUGCUGCAGACUCUUGGAGUUUGAGUUGAGGACCCAAACGCAGACAAAACAAGGCGUGGAAACAAACUUAAAUUUAGCCAAGUGUGAGCCGUUUAUUUAGGUUUUACACAAGGAUACAAAAUAAGGAAAAAACCAGAAUGUAACCCAAACCUGUAACCUAAACUGGGAAAACUACUAAGAACCUAGGAAACCUGGAGACACAAGGAGAGGUGCGCAGACAACCUGAUGAUGAACACAGAGAAACUCACACAAUAAAUGCACAUGAGGGUGAUGAGGGAAGUGGAAACACACGAGGAACGCAGCUGGGAUGAAUAGGCCUAAUGACACAAGAGGACGCAAAACUGAACACACUGAACAUAAGAUGAGAGACCGUCAAUAUAAAACAGGAAAUGCGCAGACUAAGACACACAGACUUGACACUGGGACCGGAAAGAACAGGAGAACAUGGAAACAGAGGGAGACAAAACACAAAGACAUGACUGGAACUCGGAGAGCGAGGGACACGGAGGGGAGGAAGGGAGUGAGAGGGCGACCAAGGGAUAAAGAAUGAGAGGGAGAUGAAGGGCUGGGGAGACAUGGCAUCAAACAUGGGAACAGAAAAGGGAGAGGUGACACGGAGGGAGACACAAACAUAACUUAUCGAACAUAUACAUGAACAUCAACAAGAAAACAUGCAUCAUAAUUCUAACUAAACUUACAACCUAAUCAGGUCUAAACUCUAUACUAACUGUAAACAGUAAAACUUAAACAUUUCCCCUAAUUAGCAAAAAGGGAUCAAAAAUACAAAAGACACUCAAAAUGCUGAGUCAAUGACCCAGCACCCUCACACGGGAGAGGUUAUAAAGACUGACGGUUGUGUUUUGUAUUCACGUCAGUCGUCCUGUUUCACUAAUUUGUGCCUCCUCCUGUGUGUGACCUGGAAAUCAAUCUCAGUACACCAUGUUGUUAGACGUGUCUCAGCUCCUAAAAAUACAUCUGCAGGGCAGAGCGGAGCGGCCGCUUCGCUAGAAGAGCGAUAACGGCAGAUACACAGAUGUAUCCUUUUAUAGAAGGAUUUUCUGUCGAUUACUGUUUCUAUGUAUUUUUAAUUUAAUUAAAAUUGUCCAUAAAUAUAAAAAAGACAUCCAGAGGUAGACUUACUGGUGUGUUACGGAUCAUUGUUCUGGCGCAUAACCUGAGUGAGCUUGAAGUUCAGGGCAUGAGCUGAUGGAGAGACGUCCUCCUUCAGGUCUUUCUGCUAGAGAGAAUUGAUGGUUCCAUCAAUUACAGUAAGUCGUCCUGAAGCAGCAAAGCAGCCCCAGACCAUCACAUUACCACCACCAUGUUUGACUGUUGGUCUUUGUUUUUUUUAUGAAAUGCUGUGUUAAUUUUAUGACACAUGUAACAACACUCAAAACAUCCAAAACGUUCAUCCUUUGUCUCAUCAGUCCACUGAAUAUUUUCUGAGAAGUCUUGAGGAUCAUCAAGAUUUUCUUAUCUUUCUCCCACCAAAUGUGUUCUUUUUGGUCAGUAGUAGUUUUCUCCUUGCAUCUCCCAUGGAUGCCAUUUUUGCCCAUUCUCAUUCUUACUGUUGAAUCAUGAACUUUGACCUUAACCAAGACAAGGAACAGAGUUCUUUAGACGUUGUUCUGGGUUCUUUAUGACCUCCCGGAUCAGUCGUUGGUCUCCUGUGAACAUUCAGCACUGUUCCAAGUUGUCUCCAUUUGUGGAUAAUGGCUCUCACUUCGGUUCAUUGGAGUCCCAAAGCCUUAAAAAUGUCUUCGUAACCCUUUUCAGAAUGACAGACGAUAGAUGUUUCUGUGGAUCAUGACAUGAUCUGUUCAUUUUUGAGAUCUUUUAGCCUGCUUCACUUUGUCAGACAGAUUUUUAUUUCGUGAUUCAACAGGCCUGGCAGUAAUCCGGCCUGGGAAUGGCCAGUAAAACUGAACUCAGACACAGAAAGAUGUGGUUAAUCACAGUUACAAUAUUAAUUUGCUUUUUCCACACAGGGUAAACUGGGUUUCGAUAGCUUUUUUUGUCUUAAAAAAAAUCAAAUCAGCAUUUAAAAACUGCAUUUUACAUUUACUCUGGUUAUUCUUAUCUAACAUAAAAAAUUUUGGAAGAUGUUAUAUGUGCAAGUGUGAAACAUUUUCCACAGUUUAAAGUGAGGUGAGGAGGUCUCAUUUUGUUAAAUACCCCUUUGCCUCACCUCCUCUGCUCUCGGACUGCAAUGUGAGGAGAGGAGUCAUGGAUGUGGAAAUGAGAAGGGGAGUGUGUCUAUGGCUAAUGUGUGGAGUGCAGCAGUUGAGAUGCAUUGUUCAUAAUGUCGAGUAGUUUCUUAAACAUCCUCCUCUUCACCACAAGGUCAGACAUCACAAAGAUGGACUUUCACAUCGAUUCAUCUGCUGCACAAAGAAGUUUAGUCUUAGACAUCUUAGGCAGGCCAACUUUAGACAUUUUUUUUCAAAUAACAAGAACAUGGCUGACUGACAGUAUCUAAACACCCAGCUCUGUUUGCUGUGGUUGAAAAUGUUUGUAUUUGGGAAGAAUUCAGCGGUUAUGAUGACGUUUUACUGGGAAACAAAUGCAGAGACAGAAAGCAGUAGCUGUGCAAACCCACAGCAGAGCCUGGAUGCUCUGGCUUCUUAACGUGACUUGUUAAUUUUUCAUGCGGGUGCUUACCUUCGGCAAACAUGGCUGAUGAUGACCUCACUGCUUUUCAUUUACAGUGGGUUCUCUAAAAACUGCAUCUCAUUGCUUCCUUAAUAAUAAAAAAACCCCUCAAAUUA